rnacentral:rRNA from 1 species
CAAUAGCGUAUAUUAAAGUUGUUGCGGUUAAAAAGCUCGUAGUUGGAUUUCUGCCGAGGACGACCGGUCCGCCCUCUGGGUGAGCAUCUGGGACGGCCUGGGCAUCCUCUUGGGGAACGUAGCUGCACUUGACUGUGUGGUGCGGUAUCCAGGACUUUUACUUUGAGGAAAUUAGAGUGUUUCAAGCAGGCGCACGCCUUGAAUACAUUAGCAUGGAAUAAUAAGAUAGGACCUCGGUUCUAUUUUGUUGGUUUGCACGCCGAGGUAAUGAUUAAAAGGGACGGUUGGGGUUCUUCGUAUUCAAUUGUCAGAGGUGAAAUUCUUGGAUUUAUGGAAGACGAACUGCUGCGAAAGCGUCGAACAAGGACGUUCUCAUUAAUCAAGAACGAAAGUUAGGGGAUCGAAGAUGAUCAGAUACCAU